CUGCCCUUCUGCUCCCGGUUGGUGUGUCCGAGUGGAAGGAGCUGCCCAGACAGGCUCCUCGAGCUGACAGGGCUGAGGCCGAGGAGAACACAGGGGAGGCAAGAAGCUCCGGGGAAGGGAUGCUAAGGGAAAGCUCGAGCCGAGCUGUCUCCGCUCUGCAGUGUCCAGCACAGCAGGAAGACCUUCAGACCUCCCGUCUGACGACAGCGCCUGACUCCUGUGUCCUGGCCAGCUGCAAACUUCCGGGCAGGCUUGUCCCCAGGUGGGGGACAGAAGGCAGCAAGAAGC
ensembl:lncRNA